CUCAUCCAUCUCAAGGGACCUGAAGACUUCCAGCUAAAAAGAGCUGAAUGUUUUAACAAUGGUAUUGUAAGCUUAUUGGAACCUGAAACAAAGCAGGAGGUCUGCUACUCUGGCCUUUAUGCUUAUUGUGAACAAAAGAGCUGUUAGGAUGAGAUCACUUUCCUGAAGGAGGCAAUCCAGCUCAACUAGGAGUUCCUGAUCUCAGUAAAGAACUACUGGGUGAAUUUUUACAUCCACAGCUCAGUGUUUGCAGGAGUUUGUCACCAAAUGAGAAGCUGGGGCACAGAAAGGUAGUAAGUUUCCCUCAUCACCUGCUGACCUGAAGUACUGAGUAAUAGCCUCAAAUGGCACUAGUUCCAGGGCAUGAAAUUCUGCUGUGUUAAAAACCAGUAUGAAGACCUCAGCACCUUUCCAACAUGACUGUUGGAAAAAGACAGCUUUAACAGGGGAAAGAGAUCUGAAUUUGAUUUGCUGAAAUACCCAUCUACUUAUCCUGUGGCAUUCGGUUACGCUGGAUGCUUUUGUUCCAGCCGGGGUUGCUCAUCUGUGAGCAACAAACUGAUGGCACAAGCCUCUGCACACAACCUUCAUGCUCCUCCGUCUGUGGCUUAAGAAGGUUCACAGACCACAUCAUUUGCAGACACUGUCUGGAUAUGCCAGUCUCUGCCACCAUUGAUGUGUGCAAAAACAGGUAAAUCAGGGUGAAAAGCCAAAUUGAGGGCAGCUGUAAAGUAGAGACUUAAUAGUUCUAAUAUGCAGAAAUUUAAGAGUUAUUAAUUUGUUCUUUAAAAAAAAUAGUACCUAUUUUUAGCUCUCAAAAGAGGUUGUUUUUUAGGGAUUAGUGACAGGUUGUGCUGCCAAGGUGUGUAGGCUGAUUUUGGAGAAGCAUCCAACCAGCUUGAAUGGAGGGUGAUGUCUUACAGACUUCUGAGAGCAGCACACUAGCCACAGGAGACUUUCUAUUAGACUUGGGCUGUAAACACUGUAGCUGAACUGUUCCUCGUUAUAGACAGUUCUAAUGCAGU